rnacentral:lncRNA from 1 species
UGCUUUUCCACAAUUUGUGGGCAUUCCUUUCAUAAGCCCUACCACAUUCUCAUGAUGAUGAUCUGAGAAAGAGUCUCUCAUGUCCUUGGCAUGUGAAUGGGAGUAGUAACUAAUGUGAAAUAAGCCAAUAGCCUUCUCUAUUAAUAAAGGCCUGGUUCCAAGAGGUAAAGGUUUUCCAUAGCUCAAUUCAAUUACUUUGUUCCAGCCAGGGGAAGGAAUUUAUUACCAGUCCAGACCCCAUAGCCUUUCUGUCUCACCCAAGUUGGGGAAGUGUGGGCAACAUUGUCAACAGAGCUCAGGGCUUCAAGAAAACUGACAGGAAACUCUGUA